GACGAACGCUGGCGGCGUGCCUAAUACAUGCAAGUUGAGCGCUGAAGGUUGGUACUUGUACCGACUGGAUGAGCAGCGAACGGGUGAGUAACGCGUGGGGAAUCUGCCUUUGAGCGGGGGACAACAUUUGGAAACGAAUGCUAAUACCGCAUAAAAACUUUAAACACAAGUUUUAAGUUUGAAAGAUGCAAUUGCAUCACUCAAAGAUGAUCCCGCGUUGUAUUAGCUAGUUGGUGAGGUAAAGGCUCACCAAGGCGAUGAUACAUAGCCGACCUGAGAGGGUGGUCGGCCACAUUGGGACUGAGACACGGCCCAAACUCCUACGGGAGGCAGCAGGAGGGAAUCUUCGGCAAUGGACGAAAGUCUGACCGAGCAACGCCGCGGGAGUGAAGAAGGUUUUCGGAUCGUAAAACUCUGUUGGUAGAGAAGAACGUUGGUGAGAGUGGAAAGCUCAUCAAGUGACGGUAACUACCCAGAAAGGGACGGCUAACUACGUG
rnacentral:rRNA from 1 species